UUAUUUACUAAGGUGUACUGAUGUGUA
rnacentral:sRNA from 1 species